UGUGCUGAUCACAGGUUCCCAGGGACUAGGUUAAUAUAUUGCAUCUACAAGAUUCAUAGUACUUUUAGCGACCUGCAGCAACACAAUGCAGUGUUUAAGUGACUCUACCGUGCUAUUUGCUGUCUCUUUGAGCAUUUCAGUUUUCUUUCUGUGUUCAUCACCUUUGCAGUUUUGAAGUUUGUCAUCAAAAAGCUUUAACUGUUCCAUCAAGAUUUGUAGCUCUGGCCCAGCAGAGGCACUCAGCAAAUCACUGUCAGAUGAAAGAACGGGUGAGCCGAGGGCUGUGUCUGACAGUGGCUGCCUAACCUCGGGGGAGGACCUCUGGACGUGGAGGACCUUUGGGAGCAUCACGGCCCAUCUGGAUUCGGACGAACCACCUUCCCAGCGCUCCCUAGCUGCAAGGGGCUAGUGGCUGUGACAGCUCAGGUCAUCGGAAUGGGGAUGAGAGCGCAGGGAAACGAGUGAGACACUUGCCUUGGCCAAAAACUUUCAGGCAGCACCAAAAACCCAGUAAUCAAAGUAAAUCUCUGGAUCAUCUUAGUAUCCACGUAAGAGGAAUUGUAUUAAGAGAUUACUUUUCUCGAUUGCCGGAGUGCAUUUGGCGGGGGGGGGGGGGGG